rnacentral:rRNA from 1 species
AGCGAACGCUGGCGGCAGGCUUAACACAUGCAAGUCGAGCGGGCAUCCUUGUGGUGUCAGCGGCAGACGGGUGAGUAAAGCGUGGGAACGUGCCCUUCGGUUCGGAAUAACUCAGGGAAACUUGAGCUAAUACCGGAUACGUGCGAGAGCAGAAAGGUUUAUCUGCCGAAGGAUCGGCCCGCGUCUGAUUAUCUAGUUGGUGAGGUUAUGGCUCACCAAGGCGACGAUCAGUAGCUGGUCUGAGAGAAUGAUCAGACACCCUUGUACUGCGACACGGCCCAGACUCUUACGGGAGGCAGCAGUGCGGAAUAUUGGACACUGGGGGCAACCCUGAUCCAGCCAUGCCGCGUGAGUGAUGCCGUCCUUAGGGUUGUAAAGCUCUUUUCUCCGGGACGAUAAUGACGGUACCGGAGGAAUAAGCCCCGGCUAACUUCGUG